AUUGAACGCUGGCGGCACGCCUUACACAUGCAAGUCGAACGGCAGCACGGGUGCUUGCACCUGGUGGCGAGUGGCGAACGGGUGAGUAAUACAUCGGAACGUACCUUAUCGUGGGGGAUAACGCAGCGAAAGCUGUGCUAAUACCGCAUACGCCCUGAGGGGGAAAGCGGGGGAUCGAAAGACCUCGCGCGAUUAGAGCGGCCGAUGCCUGAUUAGCUUGUUGGUGGGGUAAAAGCCCACCAAGGCGACGAUCAGUAGCUGGUCUGAGAGGACGAUCAGCCACACUGGGACUGAGACACAGCCCAGACUCCUACGGGAGGCAGCAGUGGGGAAUUUUGGACAAUGGGGGCAACCCUGAUCCAGCAAUGCCGCGUGAGUGAAGGAGGCCUUCGGGUUGUAAAGCUCUUUUGUCAGGGAAGAAACACCGGCUCUAACACAGUCCGGGAAUGACGGUACCUGAAGAAUAAGCACCGGCUAACUACGUGCCAGCAGCCGCAGUAA
rnacentral:rRNA from 1 species